rnacentral:rRNA from 1 species
UACGGAGGGUGCGAGCGUUGUCCGGAAUCAUUGGGCGUAAAGGGCGCGUAGGUGGCCCGGUCAGCGUGCGGUGAAAGCUCGGGGCUCAACCCCGAGUCGGCCGUGCGAACUGCUGGGCUUGAGUACCGGAGAGGAUGGCGGAAUUCCCCAAGUAGAGGUGAAAUUCGUAGAUAUGGGGAGGAACACCGGUGGCGAAGGCGGCCAUCUGGACGGAUACUGACGCUGAGACGCGAAAGCGUGGGUAGCAAACAGG